rnacentral:rRNA from 1 species
UACGUAGGGUGCAAGCGUUAAUCGGAAUUACUGGGCGUAAAGCGUGCGCAGGCGGUUUUGUAAGUCUGUCGUGAAAGCCCCCGGGCUCAACCUGGGAAUUGCGUUGGAGACUGCAAGGCUGGAGUCUGGCAGAGGGGGGUAGAAUUCCACGUGUAGCAGUGAAAUGCGUAGAGAUGUGGAGGAACACCGAUGGCGAAGGCAGCCCCCUGGGUCAAGACUGACGCUCAUGCACGAAAGGCGUGGGGAGCAAACGAGGAU